AGAAAAUGUACUUAUUUUAAAUGUUCAAAGAGUCACAGCACCUCAUUCAUUCAUAUCAGCAUUUACCGCAGGCAUCAGUCGACUCUUCAGCAUUCUGCACGCAAUGAAAAUAGAUCCCAUGAUCCACCGAGACAAAACUAAAAUUAAAUUUUAAAAAAUGUGAAA